UACGAGGGGGGCUAGUGUUGUUCGGAAUCACUGGGCGUAAAGGGAGCGUAGGCGGGCGUUUAAGUUAGGUGUUUAAUCCCGGGGCCCAACCCCGGACAGGCACUUAAAACUGGACGUCUUGAAUAGAGGAGAGGUCAGUGGAAUUGGGGGUGUAGCGGUGGAAUGCGUAGAGAUCCCCAAGAACACCAGUUGCGAAGGCGGCUGACUGGACUCAUAUUGACGCUGAGGCUCGAAAGCAUGGGGAGCAAACAGG
rnacentral:rRNA from 1 species